UACGAAGGGGGCUAGCGUUGCUCGGAAUCACUGGGCGUAAAGCGCACGUAGGCGGAUCUUUAAGUCAGGGGUGAAAUCCCAAGGCUCAACCUUGGAACUGCCUUUGAUACUGGGGAUCUCGAGUCCGGAAGAGGUUGGUGGAACUGCGAGUGUAGAGGUGAAAUUCGUAGAUAUUCGCAAGAACACCAGUGGCGAAGGCGGCCAACUGGUCCGGUACUGACGCUGAUGCGCGAAAGCGUGGGUAGCAAACAGG
rnacentral:rRNA from 1 species